rnacentral:sRNA from 1 species
CGAACAUGAAAUGGUAGACGAGGAGUUGCGAACGCCCCUUGAAGAGGUCGCGCAGCGAGGCCUCGCC